rnacentral:rRNA from 1 species
AGUGAGCGCUGGCGGUAGGCCUAACACAUGCAAGUCGAACGGCAGCACAGUAAGAGCUUGCUCUUACGGGUGGCGAGUGGCGGACGGGUGAGGAAUACAUCGGCAUCUACUUUUUCGUGGGGGAUAACGUAGGGAAACUUACGCUAAUACCGCAUAUGACCUACGGGUGAAAGCAGGGGAUCUUCGGACCUUGCGCGAUUGAAUGAGCCGAUGUCGGAUUAGCUAGUUGGCGGGGUAAAGGCCCACCAAGGCGACGAUCCGUAGCUGGUCUGAGAGGAUGAUCAGCCACACUGGAACUGAGACACGGUCCAGACUCCUACGGGAGGCAGCAGUGGGGAAUAUUGGACAAUGGGCGCAAGCCUGAUCCAGCCAUACCGCGUGGGUGAAGAAGGCCUUCGGGUUGUAAAGCCCUUUUGUUGGGAAAGAAAAGCAGCAGGUUAAUACCCCGCUGUUCUGACGGUACCCAAAGAAUAAGCACCGGCUAACUUCGUG